rnacentral:rRNA from 1 species
UACGGGGGGGCAAGCGUUGUUCGGAAUUACUGGCGUAAAGGGCGCGUAGGCGGUUUGCUAAGUUGAAUGUGAAAACUCUGGGCUUAACCCAGAGCCUGCAUUCAAUACUGGCAGGCUGGAGUUCUGGAGGGGAUAGCGGAAUUCCUGGUGUAGCGGUGAAAUGCGUAGAUAUCAGGAGGAACACCGGUGGCGAAGGCGGCUAUCUGGACAGAAACUGACGCUGGAGGCGCGAAAGCUAGGGAGCAAACAGGG